UACGGGGGGAGCAAGCGUUGUUCGGAUUUACUGGGCGUAAAGGGCGCGUAGGCUGCCAGCACAAGUCAGUUGUGAAAUCUCCGAGCUUAACUCGGAAAGGUCAACUGAUACUGUGCGGCUAGAGUGCAGAAGGGGCAACUGGAAUUCUUGGUGUAGCGGUGAAAUGCGUAGAUAUCAAGAGGAACACCUGCGGCGAAGGCGGGUUGCUGGGCUGACACUGACGCUGAGGCACGAAAGCGUGGGGAGCAAACAGG
rnacentral:rRNA from 1 species